rnacentral:tRNA from 22 species
AGGGGCGUAGUUCAGCUGGUAGAACGGCGGUCUCCAAAACCGCAUGUCGUGGGUUCGAAUCCUGCCGCCCCUGCCA